AUUGAACGCUGGCGGCAUGCCUUACACAUGCAAGUCGAACGGUAACAGGUCUUCGGAUGCUGACGAGUGGCGAACGGGUGAGUAAUACAUCGGAACGUGCCCGAUCGUGGGGGAUAACGGAGCGAAAGCUUUGCUAAUACCGCAUACGCUCUACGGAUGAAAGCAGGGGACCGCAAGGCCUUGCGCGGACGGAGCGGCCGAUGGCAGAUUAGGCAGUUGCUGGGAUAAAAGCUUACCAAGCCGACGAUCUGUAGCUGGUCUGGGAGGACGACCAGCCACACGGGGACUGAGACACGGCCCAGACUCCUACGGGAGGCAGCAGUGGGGAAUUUUGGACAAUGGGCGAAAGCCUGAUCCAGCCAUGCCGCGUGCAGGAUGAAGGCCUUCGGGUUGUAAACUGCUUUUGUACGGAACGAAAAGACUCCUUCUAAUAAAGGGGGUCCAUGACGGUACCGUAAGAAUAAGCACCGGCUAACUACGUGCCAGCCGCCGCCGUAA
rnacentral:rRNA from 1 species